rnacentral:rRNA from 1 species
UGCCAGCAGCCGCGGUAAUACGGAGGGUCCAAGCGUUGUUCGGAUUUAUUGGGCGUAAAGCGAGUGUAGGCGGUUUGACAAGUCGGAUGUGAAAUCCCGGGGCCCAACCCCGGAACUGCAUCCGAUACUGUCAGGCUAGAGUCCCGGAGAGGGUGGCGGAAUUCCCGGUGUACGGGUGAAAUCCGUAGAUAUCGGGAGGAACACCAGUGGCGAAGGCGGCUUUCUGGACCGAUACUGACGCUGAGACGCGAAAGCGUGGGGAGCAAACAGGAUUAGAUA